rnacentral:rRNA from 1 species
UUAGUUGCCAGCGGUUCGGCCGGGCGACUCUAGGGAGACUGACCGGUGACAAACCGGAGGAAGGUGGGGAUGACGUCAAGUCCUCAUGGCCUUUAUGUCCAGGGCUACACACGUGCUACAAUGGCGCGUACAGAGGGACGCCAAACCGCGAGGUGGAGCAGACCCCGAGAAAGCGCGUCGUAGUUCGGAUUGCAGUCUGCAACUCGACUGCAUGAAGUCGGAAUCGCUAGUAAUCGCGGAUCAGCAUGCCGCGGUGAAUACGUUCCCGGGCCUUGUACACACCGCCCGUCACACCAUGGGAGUAGAUUGUACCAGAAGCGGCUAGCCUAACCUUCGGGAGGGCGGUUACCACGGUAUGGUUUAUGACUGGGGUGAAAGUCGUAACAAGGUAGCCGUAGGGGAACCUGCGGCUGGAUCACCUCCUUUAAAGAAAAGGGUCUAGACCCCACACACGCCACUCGGUAAGGAAUUU